rnacentral:rRNA from 1 species
GACGUAGGUUGCGAGCGUUAUUCGGAUUCACUAGGCGUAAAGCGUGUGUAGGCGGAUGCCUAAGUCUGACGUGAAAUCUCCCGGCUUAACUGGGAGGGGUCGUUAGAUACUGGGCGUCUUGAGUUGGGUAGGGGGAACCGGAAUUCCAGGUGUAGCGGUGAAAUGCGUAGAUAUCUGGAGGAACACCGGUGGCGAAGGCGGCAUCCUGGACCGGCAUUGACGCUGAGGCGCGAAAGCCAGGGGAGCAAACGGG